ensembl:snoRNA
AAGACUAUACUUUCAGGGAUCAUUUCUAUAGUUCUUGACUUGAGAAAUGUGUUUCUAAAGUGUUUGGUCUCGCUACCCACGAUGAUGAGGUGUGAUAUUUCCUCCUGAGCAUGAAGACAGCAGAGAGCAUUGAUUCAGUUCAUAUGCUCUCUGUCCUUGAUGAUUGCUCUUUGCUCUCCAAGUGGAGCAUUGAGGGAGGGAAUAUGAUCUGAGUGGUU